ensembl:lncRNA
UGGGUAAAGACGUCUGCAGUAAUUCUAACACAGUAGAGCAACAGGAUUAUCAGUUCUCCACAGCACAACAACAAAGAAAGUUUAGGAGCAGUCACAGAAAAGGCUUCUUCACUCCUCUCUUCACUAAUCUGGACCUUGGGAAAGCGAGGAGCAUUUGGUCCACAGACCUCAUUGAUCUUGCAGGACCAGUUCAAAAGUACAAGUAAAAUGAGCAUAAACAUUUUGACUGCCAUCAUCUUCACUGCAUCCUUUUUCCCCUGGGCCAUCAACAUGACUGAAUAUCCAACAUUCCCCUGUUACAACAAAAGCUCAGAAUACAAAUACAACAAAUUUGUCAAAAAUCACAUCCUCCAUGACAGCUUUGACAGAAAUUCUCUAGAUGCUUGGAAAAGGUAUUUGAAAAAGGAAGGCCUCUGGUGCCGAACUCCAGUGCAGUCCUUCAUCAGUGACAGUGAGUGGAAUGUCGACAGGAUCUGCAGCAGUGAUGGUCGUCGCUUGGCUGACUCAGUUACCUACGCAGGCAACUUGUGUAUCAGCAACUCAGAAAUGCUGAUUUAUGAGGUCACAAUUAAGAAAACCAACAAGGGUCGUAAAAUUAAUGUUACUCGAGCCCAGAGGCCUGUUAUUGUUGCGUGCGAUAAGGUUGGAAACAAGUGCCUCCCAGUUCAUUUUCAGAAAUAUGAGCACCAAACCCCAAGCAAUAUACCCUGCAAUCCUGCAAGAAUUGUCAGUAUUGCAGUAGAAUAGGUUUUCAUUAUCAAACGAAUUAAUCUGUUGCAAAAGUUUCAACUCAUCAUCUUUGAAGGGUGUUAUGCUAUAAUCACUAUGUCCCUUGUUUGUUACAUUCUAAAAAUAACCCACGAUAGGUGAAAUCUGUGAAGUAGUCACCUUUAUUUUAUUUUUACAAAUAUUAUAGAUGUUUUAAGGCUGUAAAACCCCUCACUAUACUUUAUACACUUUUCUCAGACAGGCAUGAACAUUUCUCUCCUUUUUAAACCUACAUGUAUAGUGAGUUCAUUAGAACAAAUUGAAGACUCUCUAGCACAAUUCAUAAUUUAUUCAAAGUCAAAAGUCAAAGUCAAAGUCAUUCAUUGCUGAAAUAAAGAUUAACACAUCUUCCACGUUACCUUCAGAGUAAAAAAAAUGCAUUGCUUAAAUAUCUUAUGUCUUGCCUUCUAUCAGUGUCUGUAAAAUAAAUAUUUUAUUAUUUAUUAAGAAUGAUUAUUCAUUAAUAGCUCUCGACAUUGAGGAUACUUCAAUUUAUAGUUGUGAGUAAAGGAACCAGUCUUAAUUUUUGCCUGCGAUUGAGUUCUUAUUCUAUUAAUUUUUCAUUGUUUUCACACUCAUUCACACAUGUUCCAAUUAAGAAUGAACUAUGAAAAUGUUUCUGUGCUCAGCAAGCAGCUUCACACUGUAUUUAUUAUGUUAAACAGAUUUAUCAUUUCGGUAGUACUUUAUAUUAUAGCUCGAUGAUAAAGUGUUAAUCAAAGAUUAACAAGGCAGAAGAACGUUUUGUAUUAUAUUGUAAGCUUGUAAUGUAUUACCACUCAAUUACCAAAGUAAUAGCCAGGGGGCGUUAUACUGCAGUUUUUUGUUUGCUCUCAAUUUUGACACGCCCUAUUAAAGACUAAUGUCAGUUUGUACAUGCUUUUUUCAAAUUCUUCAACCCUUUAAGACCUACCAUAGAACCAAGUCUGCCAGAGCUUAUCUUUAUAUUUUUACAUGCUGUAGUGCCAUUUUUGGGAGCAUUUCAAGUUGCUAUACAUCAAUACAACCAUUAUAGCCCAA